GGAUACCGCAUCACUCUUGACUCCCAGCUACUGCAGGCUGCUGGCUCUCUCACUCUCUCCCUCUGCCCUGAUUCACUUAAACAAUCCAAAAUCUAGAGGACUAUCCAAUCAGGUCUUCAUCUCUGAGGGAGUUGGCUCUUUCCAGUGUUUCAUUCUCCAGACGUGAUUCAGAGAAGUUUCAUUACAUCUUGACAUUUUCCACCCAGUCUGAAAGUCCUGCAUGUGGGCCUAUCCUGAGGCUCUUUGCUGUUUAUUUGGUAGCUAAUUAGUGCUGGUGGAAGAACAAGUGUAGCCUGAAGGUUGUUGCCAAGACCAGCAGCAUCCAAUUAUCUACUGGAGGGUCAUGCAUAUAAAUCACAAGUGAUUAUGCCAUUCACCACUCUGCUUCUCUGAGUUGCCCUGACAUUGAUACCAGG